AGUCAUUGCCGUGUUUGACCUCCAGAGCUUCGUCAGUUACAAUCCAUACAUACACAGAAGUGUACGUAUAGAUAUGCGACGAGUGAACGGAAUAGGAGGCGAGAGGAGGGCCGGAGAAGUUAAUAAUACUCUCGAGACAAUAAACGCAGCUGCAAAUGCGAUCGCGGCGGCGGAGAAUCGUGUGCCUCAAGUUGGUGUUCAGAAAAGAAGAUGGGCUAGCUGCUGGAGCUUAUAUUGGUGUUUUGGAUCUUAUAAACACACCAAGCGCAUUGGACACGCUGUUCUUGUUCCUGAACCUAUAGCUCCAAGGGCCGAUCCUCCUGUGGUUGAAAAUCAAACUCAAGCAGCUUCUGUGGCACUCCCUUUCAUUGCACCUCCCUCCUCUCCUGCUUCUUUCCUUCAGUCAGAACCUCCAUCUGCAACUCAAUCACCACCUGGCCUACUGUCCCUCACAUCUAUGUCUGCAAGCAUGUAUUCCCCUGGUGGGCCUGCCUCAAUGUUUGCUAUUGGCCCCUACGCCCAUGAGACACAAUUAGUUACUCCCCCUGUUUUCUCAACCUUUACAACCGAACCAUCUACUGCUCCUUUACUCCGCCACCAGAGUCUGUCCACAUGACUACUCCAUCUUCACCUGAGGUGCCAUUUGCUCGGCUACUUGACCCAAUAGACCAAAAUUGUGAAGAUGGUCAGAGAUAUCCUUUGCCUCAAUAUGAAUUUCAAUCGUAUCAGCUUCAACCUGGAAGCCCUGUCAGCCAUCUAAUCUCGCCCAGCUCAGGCAUCUCUGGUUCAGGUACUUCAUCUCCUUUCCCUGAUGGUGAGUUUGUUUAUGGACGGCCCCACUUCCUAGAGUUCAGAAGUGGUGAUCCUCCCAAGCUUUUGAACCUUGAAAAGAUUGCACCUCAUGAAUGGGGUUCUCGGCAAGGAUCUGGUACUAUCACGCCCGAUACUGUGGCACCUAGAUAUCGCAAUGGGUUUCUUCUGGAUAAUCAGAAAUCUGAUGCUUCUACAGUUUCAAAUUCAUAUAACGUCACGAGAGUUGAUGAAACUGCUGUUGAUCACCGAGUUUCCUUUGAGAUAACUGCAGAAGAAGUUGUUAGAUGUGUUGAAAAGACGCCAGCAGUCUUUCCCAAGGCCGUAUUAGCAACUACUCCAUCGAAUACUGAAUGUGUGGUUAAAACAGAGGAUAAUCCAAAGGAAAUGGCAAAUGGACAUGAAGGCUGUGCUGGCGAAGCCUCAAGAAUUGGUUCUGGUAGAGCUUCUGUAGAUGGCGAUGGUGGCCAGUGGCAUCAGAAGCAGCGAACAAUAACCCUUGGCUCUGCAAAAGAAUUCAACUUUGACAGUGUUGAUGAAGGGAAUUCUGAUACACCUAAUAUUGGAUCUGACUGGUGGGCCAAUGAGAAAGUUAUGGGGAAGGAUGGUGUGGCAGGCAAAAGCUGGACUUUUUUCCCAGUGAUGCAGCCAGGAGUCAGCUAAUGGCUGCAUUGGGUUUUACACCUGUGCAACAAGCUUGUUGCCUGGCUUGAUUCUCUGAAGUCUGAACCCAGCCAGCAAGGAGCAGAACAAAUGGUUGAGCUUUACAAGGUUCUGAUGUUGAUGAUACAUGGCAGCACUGACCAAAAAAUGGAGGCUGUUUUUUGCACAUUUCUGACCGUAGAAACGAGUGAAGGUGAGGUAAUAUUAAGAUUUAGUGAGGAUGUUGCAUCUCCUUAUCCUCUACCUAAAGCAGAUUCAUAAUAGUAAUUAACAUGAUCUAGAUAUUUGGCUUUUCCUUUUUGAUAUGUAAUAUAAUAAGCUAUGGAUGGAACAGUUGUUUUAAUGCAGCCCAUGAUGAUGACGACAUAACAGCUUCAGUUUAA